rnacentral:rRNA from 1 species
AAGAUUAAGCCAUGCAUGUCUAAGUACUAACGAUCUAAUCGUGAAACCCGCAAACGGCUCAUUAAAUCAGCUGUAAUCUGCUUGAUUUUGACAGUAUCUACAUGGAUACCUGUGGUAAUUCUAGAGCCAAUACAUGCACUAAAGCUCUGACCUCGCGGGACGAGCGCAUUUAUUGACGCAAAACCAAGCGAGCCGCUCGCGGUUCGUUUUUUGCUGACUCUAGAUAACUCAGCUGAUCGCACGGUCUCGCACCGGCGACGUGUCAUAUGAGCAUCUGCCUUAUCAAUUUUCGAUGGUAGUGUAUCUGACUACCAUGGUUUUGACGGGUAACGGAGAAUCAGGGUUCGACUCCGGAGAAGGGGCCUGAGAAAUGGCCACUACGUCUAAGGAUGGCAGCAGGCGCGCAAAUUACCCACUCUCGGCAUGAGGAGGUAGUGACGAAAAAUAACGAGACCGAUCUCUUUGAGGCCGGUUAUCGGAAUGGGUACAAUCUAAACCCUUUAACGAGUAACUAUGAGAGGGCAAGUCUGGUGCCAGCAGCCGCGGUAAUUCCAGCUCUCAAAAUACAUUGAAUCAUUGUUGCGGUUAAAAAGCUCGUAGUUGAAUCUAGGCCGGCGGCGUGGUCCACUCGUUGAGUGCGUACUGCUGCCGCGGGCUUUUCGUCGGUUUGACUUGUCGUCGCCUUUAUUGUGUGGCGGCAAGUGGCUGGCAAUUUUACUUUGAUUAAAUCAGAGUGAUUAAAACAGGCGUUUCGCUUGUAUGAUCUUUCAUAGAAUAAUAGAAUAUGACUUUGGUCAGAUUUUAUUGGUUUUACUGACCAUCGUAAUGAUUAACAGGGAUAAGCGGGGGCAUUCGUAUUGCUGCGUGAGAGGUGAAAUUCUUGGACCGCAGCAAGACGUCCUAAAGCGAAAGCAUUUGCCCAAGAAUG